rnacentral:rRNA from 1 species
AUACGGAGGAUGCAAGCGUUAUCCGGAUUUAUUGGGUUAAAGGGUGCGCAGGCGGAAAAUUAAGUCAGUGGUGAAAUCCUACAGCUUAACUGUAGAACUGCCAUUGAUACUGAUUUUCUUGAGUGCAGUUGAGGUAGGCGGAAUGUGUAAUGUAGCGGUGAAAUGCUUAGAUAUUACACAGAACACCGAUUGCGUAGGCAGCUUACUAAACUGUUACUGACGCUCAGGCACGAAAGCGUGGGGAGCGAACAGGAUUAGAAACCCUAGUAGUCC